UGUGUUUUUACUUUUGUUUUUCUUUUCCAUCGUACAUUAGAACUUUAUCAUUUCUUUAGUUACUAACAAAAGUAAAAUUCAUUUUAUAGAAAAUAAAGUUACCACAAAAAAUUGUUUCAAUAAAAAUGUUACACAAGAUUUUAAAAUAGCAAACAGGAGCAGGAGCAGGUGGUGAUAAAACAAUUCCAUUCUUAUUCAAGCUUCAAAAUUCCACAUCAAAUUUCAGACUGCUCAAAUAUUCUGGUUUAUAUACAUAUUCCACACCGCCCUAAACCACACGGCCUAGAAUCUGCAAAAUUGUUAAACAUUUCAUAUCGAAGCAAACUACUUUUAGAGCUAUUGGAGUACCCUAUCUACAACAUAGCCUUCUUACAACCCUUAGCAAGUCCCUUUCUGCUCCUCUUUAAACCUUGCUUGCCAUCCUUCCCAGUUAGUUCUGAAUUGUUGUCGUCAUCACCUUCUGAUGUGUGUGCUGCAUCAUCUUCAACAUCUCCACGACCAUAUCCAGACCUUUUCGCACUCACUGUAAUCACGCCACAUUCAACCUUUUGCUCAGGGGUUUCACACGAUCGCUCGAAAGGUUCCAUAUAACAAAACCAUUCUAGAGGUAAAUUCUUGCUGUCAAAUCCAUAACUCAGCAUCCUCCACUUUCUACACUUAUCACACUGAACCCAUUCAUGAUCAGGCUUGUACAGGACGCCACCCUUUUUCAGCUGCACUCUAUCAAAAUUCUUAUCCCAAUAUUCAUCAGCCUUCUUCCCCAGCCACUCCUCUAGUUGUGCAUAUGAUUCACAAUCCUGAAAACCCUGUUUGUUACUAUGCACCCAAGCACGACCAUUCUCAUCAUCCAUUAGAUCAGUAACAUCUAUAACCCCAAUAACACCUCGUCCCACCUCUCCGCUAUGUACCAUACUACCAACUCUUUUGUAAGCCUAAAUAAAAGAGAAAAAAAGCAUAAAAUUAGAGAUCGACACGUGAUCUUAUUUUACAAGAGUAAAAGGAGCACAAGAGCCCAAGUUCAUAAUUAUGAUAGAAAAAGAAUCCAAUCUAAAUGAAGGAAAAGAAAAGGCAACCAUAAUCCUAAACAUUAUGAACAAAGGAUGUAAAACAUUUAUUACUACCUCACAAUUUCCUAUAUGCAUUUUAUUCCACAGUCAUGCGUCCUCUGUAAAUUUAAAUUCAUGGCAUCAGAACAUGUGGCAUUAAAUUAAAAUUCCAAAAUUAAGCAUAUUCUCACAAUCCACUUCCCAUUUGCUCCACCCUUUCAGCUUUCAAUCAUACAUGCUAUUUGGUUCACCUUCUUUUAGGGAAGGUGAAAGUAGCACUCAUUUGAAUUUGAAUUUAGAGAGGGGUCAUUUAAGAUGGUUUGAAGAAAGGAAACUCCCUUGAAAGCAAAUAUUCAGCUCAUAUAAAAGACAAUGUUGCCGUAGAUUUAAAAGAUCUGGCUGAGAUUAUAGCUAAUUCCAUGCAUCACUUUAUUAGUAGCUUUGAUUUGAUACAAAACACUUGGAAGUCUAAAAGAAUUAAAAAUUUUAACAAACUAAUAAACGGGCAUGGAAACUCUCCUCGGGACAAGAUUCUUAGGAACAAAUGCACAGAAGAAAAAAUUGAAUCAAGCAAGAAGCAUAAACCACUUUUUAAAUGACCUAAUUAUGAUAAACUAGAAUAAACAUCAAAAAGAUAUUGGAAACUACAAAUCAACACCAACAUUCACAGGUAAAAUCAUAUCAUAAAGCAGAAUCUGGCCUCAAUUAAGCGGCCAUGCCAAUACAAAAACAUUCCGCAAUUUGCCUGCUCCCACUCUAAUUGACUGCGACCAAGAGUUAAGUGAACAUGUUUCCCCAUGAUGAUACCAGUUUCUUCACGAGUAUUAUUCAAAGACUUUGCCAAUGGUUGACUUUUAACCAAUGAACCUUGAACAUAUAUCCUCAUCCGUGGAACUAAAAAGAUGACUUCUAGGUAAGAUCUAAGUGAAUAAUCUAAGGGCACCUUUUGACUCAUCUGGCCAGGGCGAGAUCUAACCCUUCUAGAACGGAUUAGUAUGUCACCUUGAUGAAAGGAGCUCCCACCAGUCAGUCCAGCGGUCCAGUCCAGGCAAUAAUUUGAGCCCCAUUCAUCUAAGUUCCAUAUGUAUAUUUGUGUUCCUGUGCUUUUUUCACGGAACAAGGCUGCUUUUUCACCAAUCAAAUACUUAUCAAAUGGUGAAAAUUCCUUAAUAGAUUUCAGGUUGUACUUUGCUAAGGCUUCAGACUGGACAUUUGUAUCUACUUCCAUAAACUGUCCUUUUCUGCAGUAGCUUACAAUGGGAAUCUCUAGAUUAUCUUUUCCUUCACUUAGGGAUUGCGAGAGAAAGGCUAUAGAUCUGGAAUCAGCAGUCUGAGUGAGAACAAAAGCAUCCCUGCCAAGCCUCAUUGCUCCAGUCUUAAAUCCAACACCAAAUCUUCCUAUACGAUCCAGAUCAUCCGCAUCAGAUUGCUUGUGCCCAAAACACAUCAUCCUCACAACCCCCUCAUGGGUCAUCCCACAGCCAUCAUCAAUAACUGACAACAUAGGAAUAUUUUUUCCAGCUCUUUUUGAGUAUAUGAUCUCAACAGAAAUAUCCAGCCUGCUUGCUUUUGCAUCCCUAGAAUUAUCAACAAGCUCAGCUACAGCACCAAAAAUCCAUCCAGAAUGUGCUUGACCAAGAGUUUGCAGGUAACUUGAAUCAGCCUGCACAUAAUUUUUCUUCAAUAGUCCAUCCCGAUUCACGGCACAAGGCUGACAUCUGCCUGUUGGCACACAACCAUGGUGAUCACCAAUUGAAUGUGGAAACUUGACACAAGGCAUGCCAUUGUCUUCACUGAUACCCACACCCCUUGAAUCCGUAUGCCCAUCUUUCUUACCAGCCAACUCCUCAACAUCAUGAGAAGGUGACAUGGUGCUACUAUUACCACAAAUUUCAGUUGGAUCUACACUUUGCCGCUUCCAUUGGCAUGCUUCAUCCGUAUCAACAACUGAUUCACAACGCUUUUGACUGCUAUACUUCUUUUCCCGAUAUGCAACUCUAACACAGCUAAAAUUAUAGGCUUCAUCAGGAGGAAGUAUAUAGAACUCACAGAAAUCAAAUUUUACAAUUCCAACCAAGUCUCUUUUCUGAAGAUGACACAAAAACCUCCCCCACUCAUAAUGGUCCCGAGAACACUCAGCAGCAGGGCGUAAAAAGCAAUGAUGUAGAUCACGAUGGAUAUUUACCACAGAUCUUGGGAGAAUUUCAUGCAAAUUCCAGCGUGGAGGCAUAUUUGCAGGAGGAUUUGAGCACUGUGUCCUACAUAUGAUUUUCUCAUCCUUCAUCAGCAACACAAAGUGCUUGUAAUUAUCUUCACUCGGAUCUUUUUCUGAUUUCGAAGGCUUCAACGGUCGAUCUCCCAUUUGAAAACCGUAAAGAAUCGGUUUUAAUUCCCAUUCUGAGCACUGAAACAAAUGCCUUAAGACAGAGCCGAGAACUACUAAACAAGCAUGCAAUCUCAUGAGUAAAAAAUCCAACUUCGGAAGAAAACUGCAAUGCUAGACCACCUCUCUCUCUGGAGUAAUAAUAAAAUAAUAGAAACAACAACAAUAACAUGCUAAGACCUCGUUGAAACCUCGAGUAAGAAAUUCCAAAACAGAUGCCAGUCACAAAGACAAAAGAGACCUUGAGAAAGCCUAGUAGAAACUAGGGCAAAUUGAGACCAGCGGUAGUGCAGAAGUAGAAAAAGAAAUAGAAAGGCGCAAAAUGUGAAACUUAAAAGUACAUUUCUUUUAUAUAUUAGAAUAACGAAGAUUGGAAAAUAUGACGAAGGAGAGUUUGUGGCGUGCCGUACGAUGGCGAUCGAAACGGUAGUGGUGGUGGUGGUUGUGGAGGAGGAGCACUGACAGUACGGACGAUGGUGUAUUAGUUGCUGUGACUCGUCCGUUUCGGGAGAAAUAGAGAGAGGAAACGAU
rnacentral:misc_RNA from 1 species